UAGGGAAUCUUCGGCAAUGGACGGAAGUCUGACCGAGCAACGCCGCGUGAGUGAAGAAGGUUUUCGGAUCGUAAAGCUCUGUUGUAAGAGAAGAACGAGUGUGAGAGUGGAAAGUUCACACUGUGGCGGUAUCUUACCACAAAGGGACGGCUAACUACGUGCCAGCAGCCGCGGUAAUACGUAGGUCCCGAGCGUUGUCCGGAUUUAUUGGGCGUAAAGCGAGCGCAGGCGGUUAGAUAAGUCUGAAGUUAAAGGCUGUGGCUUAACCAUAGUACGCUUUGGAAACUGUUUAACUUGAGUGCAAGAGGGGAGAGUGGAAUUCCAUGUGUAGCGGUGAAAUGCGUANAUNUAUGGAGGAACACCGGUGGCGAACGCGGCUCUCUGGCUUGUAACUGACGCUGAGGCUCGAUAGCGUGGGGAGCAAACCUGAUUACAUACACUGGUAGUCCACGCCGUAUACGAUGAGUGCUANGUGUUAUACCCUUUCCGGGGUUUAGUGUCGCAACUAACGCAUUAAGCACUCCGCCNGGGGAGUACGACCGCAGGGUUG
rnacentral:rRNA from 1 species